AUUGAACGCUGGCGGCAUGCUUUACACAUGCAAGUCGAACGGCAGCGCGGGCUUCGGCCUGGCGGCGAGUGGCGAACGGGGGAGUAAUGCAUCGGAACGUGCCCAGUAGUGGGGGAUAGCCCGGCGAAAGCCGGAUUAAUACCGCAUACUACCUGAGGGUGAAAGCGGGGGACCGAAAGGCCUCGCGCGAUUGUAGCGACCGAUGGCGGGCUUGCUAGUUGGUGGGGUAAAGGCUUACCAAGGCUACGAUCGGGAGCUGGCCUGAGAGGACGACGGGCCACAGUGGGACGGAGAGAAGGCCCAGACUCCUAAGGGGGGCAGCAGUGGGGAAUAGUGCACAAGGGGCGGAAGGCUGAUGCAGUAACGCGGCGGGCGGGAGGACGGCCGUCGGGUGGUAAACCGCUUUCGCCUGUGACGAAGGGGGAGGGACGGUAAUGGGUAAAGAAGCACCGGCUAAGUACGGG
rnacentral:rRNA from 1 species